rnacentral:rRNA from 1 species
UGGCGAACGGGUGAGUAACGCGUGAGGAACCUGCCUCAAAGAGGGGGACAACAGUUGGAAACGACUGCUAAUACCGCAUAAGCCCACGGGUCGGCAUCGACCUGAGGGAAAAGGAGCAAUCCGCUUUGAGAUGGCCUCGCGUCCGAUUAGCUAGUUGGUGAGGUAACGGCCCCCAAGGCGACGAUCGGUAGCCGGACUGAGAGGUUGAACGGCCACAUUGGGACUGAGACACGGCCCAG